rnacentral:rRNA from 1 species
UACGUAGGGUGCGAGCGUUACUCGGAAUUACUGGGCGUAAAGCGUGCGUAGGUGGUUUGUUAAGUCUGAUGUGAAAGCCCUGGGCUCAACCUGGGAAUGGCAUUGGAUACUGGCGAGCUAGAGUGCGGUAGAGGGUAGUGGAAUUCCCGGUGUAGCAGUGAAAUGCGUAGAGAUCGGGAGGAACAUCUGUGGCGAAGGCGACUACCUGGACCAGCACUGACACUGAGGCACGAAAGCGUGGGGAGCAAACAGG